GUUAGGCUGGUUGUCAAUCACAGGUCUGGAUGGAGGUCUCAGAGUUAGCUGAAGAAGUGACUUUGACCAAGUCCCAUUUGCAAAGCUGUGGGAAAUUCCCAGGCUUUGCUAUUCCACAGAGAUAGAUUCAACAGUGCACUGGUCAAUAUUUAAAGCCAGACCAACUCUGGUUUGUAGUGUUUGCCAAUUUCUAUGGUGUGAAGACUCCCACCAUGGCCAAUUUGAAGGUAUCUUCAUGGCCCAAAUGCAGAGUUGGGAAGACAUGGCCACAGUCAGUUCUCACAGGUAUCUUUCCAGAUGUUACAAGUUGAUUCCAGCAAGUCCCUGCAUAGACUGCAUUUCUGUAAGUAUAUACAACCUUCAGCAAUUAACUCUUCCCUAAAGAAUCCUCAUGAGUUCAUUUUAGGGGUAAAUGGAAGGCACUAAGCACAGAGACUGAAAUGACAGACCUUCAAUACACAUCCAUUCUCUGACCUCAUGAUUGAGUUUCUGUCUGUCUCUUCUUCCUCUCUCCUUUCCCUUCAAAAACUCUUUGAAAAGUCUGCAUUUGUUCUAUUCUCCCUUAUUAAACCACUAUCAUCUGAUUUUCAUUUAUAGAACCCCUGAAAAAAUAAUUUCUCUGUGGGAUCCGCACCCCUUUUCUAACUCCAAAAGACAUUUUCCAGUGCUUACUCUACUGCUCAUUGUGGCAUGCCUUGAACAUUUCUUCCUUCAUCUCAUUCUCUUCCUCCCUGGGAUUCAGAGACAGAGACUGCCACCCAUUUUCAGAGGACAUCCUUGGUCUUUCUUAGGAUCCCACUUCUCUUAAUGUGUUCUUCAUUAAUGUUUGGAAUUUUCCAGCGAUGCAUCCUGCCUCUUCUCUUCUCACACCCCCAACUCCCUUUAGGUAAGCUCACUCCUAACCAGGACUUCACCUCUUAUCCGAGUACCAAUGACUUAAAAGGUGAAGCUGUGUCCCAGACAUCUCUCUGGAGCUCCAGGAUGUAUCAGCUGUAUUGCCUAUUAGUUGUUCAACAUUCUUAACAGUUUGGCCUUUGUAUCUCAUAUGCCAAGUAUCAUCAACAAAGACACGGCGGCAUUGCUUCUCCACCCUGACAAACUUCUCCCUCCUUCUGUGCUUUCUAUAACAGGUGGCCCUUCACCUUAUCUCAGGCUGGAAAGCUGGGAGUCAUCCUCCCAUGCUUCCCAUAUCCAGUCAGUCCAGUCAAUUCCAUCUGCAUCUGUAUUCCAUUUCUCUGGCUUCCUCUCUAAUGUCCUUGUCCUGGUAAACCUGGGACCUUCAUUCUUUCAUUCUUAGGUAUUAAAAUGAGAAGCCACCUGAUUUCCCCAUCCCCAGGUAGUUCCUCUCCCUUUCAUACUUCUAGUGAAUGGAUCCUUGGAAAAGGAAAAUGGAUCCUGUAAUCGCUUGGACUUGGUGAGUUUUUAGCAUCUACUGCAUAAAGGGCAAAUUUUAUGGAAUGGCACAGAUGUCCCUGUGGAUUAUGGCUCACACCUACUUUUCUGGCCACACCUUCUGCCUCUGGUCUAUGACUGUGCCCUAAACCACUGACCUGUCCCUCCAUAGGCCACGCUUUUGCUUGUCUCUGCCUCUCUGGACAGCCAGCCCUUUCCCAUCUUGUACCUGGUAAACUACUCCCAUUCUUUUGUCAAGGAUUGAUGCCAAUUUCUCCUCUUUCAGGAAGCCUUCUUUGAAUGCCUCAUGAAACACUGUACAUAAUUUUCUAAAAGGCACUCUUCAUACUGUGCUGUAAUCCUCAGUACUUGCCUUUCUCCCUGAGCAGAGAGUGACUGAGCUGAGGACAUUUAUCCCAUACUGAACUCACCUUUGCAUCCUCAACAGGAACUAUAAAGAUGUGGAUCAAGAAGAUGUUUAGAAAAUUGAAUGUUAUCAACUUACAAAUGCCUCAGAUGCUUUUCCUGCACUUUUUGUGCUGCCAAAUGACAUGGCUUCAAGAAUAAAAAAAAAGAAAAAAAGCUUUUGUAGGACAUAAACAUGUUGGAAUGACCUAAAUGCAGCACUCCACCUGUGAGAAAUGAAAAUGGAACAUAAUCUCAUAAAAAUUGAAUUUGCAAGGAAACAGCAUGAUUUAGCAGAAGGAACAUGAACUUUCGAGUUAGACUGACUUAUCUUAAUCAUGGGUCCCUGUGGGCUAUGUAACCCUGGAAGAAAGCAGAGAGGGACUUCACCUUCCAUAUUACUUCUUGUUCUCUCCUCUUCUCUUGCUUGUGUUUGUGUGUAUUUACACAAAAACACGCACACACACAUACAAUAUCUACCGUCUAUAUAAUUAUCAUCUAUUAUCUUCUCUCUGAUAUUUCAACUGAAAAUGAAUUAGAACCAAAUUGUUUUACUUCAUUCCUGUUUCUAAGUGAUAUUAGUAGGGUGUUUUAUAAUCACACUAAUAAUAGUAGCUAAUGUUUCUAAAACAAUAUACCUAUCAUUGUUUUUAGCAUAUUAUAUGGAAUAAUUCAUUUUAUCUGCACAGCAUUAUGAUACUUUACGGCAAAUAAAUAAUGAGAAGCCAAAAAACCAAAUAGUUGAGGUGAGAGAUCAGGGAGAAGUAAGCAAUGGGAUAUUUUAUAAGACAUCUAUAAUGAGUCCCUAGAUAUCGAGAUCGUCUCAAUAAAUUAUGUUGUUAAAAAUA